UACGGAGGGUGCAAGCGUUAUCCGGAUUCACUGGGUUUAAAGGGCGCGUAGGCGGCGUGGUAAGUCAGCUGUGAAAUCUCCGAGCUUAACUCGGAACGGUCAGCUGAUACUGCUGUGCUAGAGUACAGAAGGGGCAAUCGGAAUUCUUGGUGUAGCGGUGAAAUGCGUAGAUAUCAAGAGGAACACCUGAGGCGAAGGCGGGUUGCUAGGCUGAUACUGACGCUGAUGCGCGAAAGCUAGGGUAGCAAACGGG
rnacentral:rRNA from 1 species